AUCACAUCAAGAAUUUACCACUGCAAGGUAGACCCAGACUUGUUGAAAUGACAUGAAUGAAGAGAAGUGAGAUCUUUCAUCUUAAUUAAUUUCAAAUCCUAUCUUUUCUAAUUCUGAUCUUCAAAGGGGAAAAAAGAAUAUGUACAAACAAAAAGGGUAUGAAAAUUUUUUAAGAGAUAGCGCAGCACACGGCGGCAUCAUCAGCUAAUUUCAACGAAGGAUGCCUAACUAAACAGACGGCAACUUUGACACGGCAACUUUCACCAAACCCAAUAUCUCUAAGAUAUUCUUUCAAAUAAGAGUCUUACUGGUAACUUUAAGAGAUUUCAUUUAUUUUGAUAGCCAAGAUGAUUGUGGAGAAUGAUGCUGCCAUUGCUCGUGCUCUCCAAGAAGAACUUUCAAGGAUUGCUGCUGCAGAAGGAUCUGGGCAUGUUCCUAAAACUAAUGGAGAAAUACCAUCGGAGGAUGAACAGAUGUCAGAUCAUCAAAGACUGCUAGAAAGGUUAAAGUUAUAUAAUCUUGUUGAAAAAGAAGUUCAAGGAGAUGGUAACUGUCAGUUUCGUUCUCUGUCAGAUCAACUCUAUGAUUCUCCUGAGCACCACAAAUUCGUGAGAGAACAAGUUAUUGAACAGCUCAAGUCUCAGCCGCAAAUGUACAGCAGCUAUGUUCCUAUGGCUUAUGACGACUAUCUGGAGAAAAUGAGCAGGAGUGGUCAAUGGGGUGAUCACGUUACAUUGCAGGCCGCUGCAGAUUUGUAUGGUAUCAAGAUAUUUAUGAUAACUUCAUUCAAGGAUACAUGUUGCAUCGAGAUCCUUCCAAAAGUGCUAAAGUCCAACAAUGGAGUUAUUUACUUGAGCUUUUGGGCGGAGGUGCACUACAAUCCUGUUCGUCGCAUGAGAAACAUCUGGCAGGAGUAUAAAAGAAAAAAAAAACAUUAAGCUCAUGAUUUUUCUCUUAGAAAAAUCAGAAACUGCUUGGGACCUGCGCAUGGGUGCAAAAGAAAUUGAUUCUGGGAUAAGCCAAAUAGCCCUGCUAAAUGCAACUAUUAUGGCCUUCUCUAGACUAGUUUACGAGAUGAAGUAGUUCCAAUCCCAUUUAAAGCAAUGCCAUGCCAAUGACAAUAAUUCAUGAACAUACAGGAAAGACUCGUGCAAUUUCUCUAAACUUACCAGAAUAUGGCAUGUGUAGGCAAUUUGACGCCUGGCUCAACUGUGAACUUAGCCCAUAGUAUUGUAGCUGAGCUCAAUUAUAGCCAUUAUAUGAUAUCCUAGGCAUGGUCUAAAAGACUCAACAACUCAAUCCGAAUCUCAUGACCGGGUUAUUUGAAUUAAUUCGGAUAAUCUUUUUAAAACCCUAGUAAUA